GACGAACGCUGGCGGCGUGCCUAACACAUGCAAGUCGAACGGACAGGCCCUGCUUUUGUGGGGUGCUCGAGUGGCGAACGGGUGAGUAACACGUGAGUAACCUGCACUUGACUUUGGGAUAACUUCUGGAAACUGGGGCUAAUACCGGAUAGGAGCUCCUGCUGCAUGGUGGGGGUUGGAAAGUUUCGGCGGUUGGGGCUGGACUCGCGGCUUAUCAGCUUGUUGGGGAGGUAGUGGCUUACCAAGGCUUUGAAGGGUAGCCGACAUGAGAGGGUGACCGGGCACAAGGGGACUGAGAUAGGGCCCAGACGCCAACGGGAGGCAGAAGUGGAGAAUAUUGCGCAAUGAGCGGAAGUCUGAGACAGCAACGCCGCGAGCGUGAUAACGUCUUUCGAGGUAAAAACAGCUGUCUCCGGAAACGAAGCGUGAGUGACGGUAAUUAGUAAAAAAGCACCGGCUAACUACGUG
rnacentral:rRNA from 1 species